AGCAGUAGCCGCGGUAAAACAGAGGGUGCGAGCGUUAAUCGGAUUUACUGGGCGUAAAGCGUGCGUAGGCGGCUUCUUAAGUCGGAUGUGAAAUCCCUGAGCUUAACUUAGGAAUUGCAUUCGAUACUGGGAAGCUAGAGUAUGGGAGAUGAUGGUAGAAUUCCAGGUGUAGCGGUGAAAUGCGUAGAGAUCUGGAGGAAUACCGAUGGCGAAGGCAGCCAUCUGGCCUAAUACUGACGCUGAGGUACGAAAGCAUGGGGAGCAAACAGGAUUAGAUACCCUGUAGUCCCUGUCUCUUAUACA
rnacentral:rRNA from 1 species